UUUCCUUUAGCUUAAGCUUAAAGCGUUAGUUUGAAGCACUGAAGUUAACAGUCAUGUUAGGGAGGC
rnacentral:tRNA from 1 species